rnacentral:lncRNA from 1 species
UCAGAAUUUGUACAUGACAAAUGGAGAAAUAUGGAAGCAGCCAUGUCUUCGUUUUCCAGUUUUUAUGGAGAGUUAUCAAGCAAAACAAGUAAACACCAUUCCCCUGACUUUAGGAGAGUUUCACUGCUGAAACUCAUUUGUUGUUGGAGUGACCAAUCUAUAAAGAUUAUUGAGGCAAUGCAAGCGGUGCUGUUGGCAGAAGUUCAAAGGACUAUGAAAACCUUGAGAAAGACAGCAGUCUACAGAGAACCAUUGGCCAUAGUAGAGAAUGGAAAAGCCUAUUGCUUUUUCAGAUGUAUGUCAGGGAGUUAAAGGACUUCUACACUCUCUCAUCAUCUCACAACAUUAAAGAAGAACUGAUAGUUUUUUUGCUUGUAUGAUUUCCCUUAUAAAUAUAAUUGUUCUGGUAUCGUAAAUAAAUCUGAAAAUAAAGGAAGAAGU